AUGUUGCCGAGGCUGGUCUUGAACUCCUGGCUGCAAGUGAUCCUCCGUCCUCAGCCUCCCAAAUCACUGGGAAUACAGGCGUGAGUCACCAUGCCCUGGGAGGUGUUCUUUACAGACUGUUCCUCAGCAAGGAGAGGGUACAAGAAAGGGGCCCUUAGCACAGCAUUCAGGCCCAGGUGUCUGCUGGGCCUUCUUCUGCCACUUCUAACUCAUGUACUGGCACCUGCACUGUAAUGAUUUGUGUCUAUCUCACUGAGAGCGUGGGAAGUCCCUGAGUGCCGAGACUGGGACUCCUUCCUCAUUCUGUUUCUCAGCGCUUCACACAGGGUCUGCAAACAGUAGACAUUCCACAAUGCUGCUCCCAGUAGCCUUUCCUCUCCCCCAACUUGUACCUAAGUCAGAGUUCAUAUGGGUCCAGCAUUUUUUAGCUGGCAGAGCAGGUUCCCAUAUAUUAAUGCAUGUGGUGCUCACCAAAGCCCUGUGUCAAAAGUGUCAUCGCUGUCAUCAGCAUCACCUGCCAGAAACUGCACAGCACGGUGGUUUCAGCAUGUGGGCUCUGUAGCUGGACUGCUCAGAUUCAAGUCCUGUCCUUACCACUUACGGGCUG